CCCGCAACGAGCGCCACCCUUGUCCUUAGUUACCCAGCAUUAAGUUCGGGUACUUUAAGGAGACUGCCGGUGACAAACCCGGAGGAAGGUGGGGACGACGUCAAGUCAUCACGGCCCUUACGAGCAGGGCUACACACGUGCUACAAUGGCGAGUACAAAGGGAUGCAAACUGGUGACAGUAAGCGGACCCCUUAAAGCUCGUCGUAGUCCGGAUUGGAGUCUGCAACUCGACUCCAUGAAGUCGGAAUCGCUAGUAAUCGUAGGUCAGCAUACUACGGUGAAUACGUUCCCGGGCCUUGUACACACCGCCCGUCACACCAUGGGAGUGGGAUGCAAAAGAAGUAGGUAGCUUAACCUUCGGGAUGGCGCUUACCACUUUGUGUUUCAUGACUGGGGUGAAGUCGUAACAAGGUAGCCGUA
rnacentral:rRNA from 1 species